ACGGGGUGCAGCAGGCGCGAAAAGUUUACAAUGCGGGAAACCGUGUUAAGGGAACACCGAGUGCCAGCAUCAUAUGCUGGCUGUCCAGAUGUGUAAACUACAUCUGUUAGCAAGGGCCGGGCAAGACCGGUGCCAGCCGCCGCGGUAACACCGGCGGCCCGAGUGGUGACCGUUAUUAUUGGGUCUAAAGGGUCCGUAGCCGGUUUGGUCAGUCCUCCGGGAAAUCUGAUAGCUCAACUAUUAGACUUUCGGGGGAUACUGCCAGGCUUGGAACCGGGAGAGGUAAGAGGUACUACAGGGGUAGGAGUGAAAUCUUGUAAUCCCUGUGAGACCACCUGUGGCGAAGGCGUCUUACCAGAACGGGUUCGACGGUGAGGGACGAAAGCUGGGGGCACGAACCGGAUUAGAUACCCGGGUAGUCCCAGCCGUAAACUAUGCUCGCUAGGUGUCAGGCAUGGCGCGACCGUGUCUGGUGCCGCAGGGAAGCCGUGAAGCGAGCCACCUGGGAAGUACGUCCGCAAGGCUGAAACUUAAAGGAAUUGGCGGGGGAGCAC
rnacentral:rRNA from 1 species